GGGAAAGAGGGGGUUACCUGGCUACCUACCUACCUGCCCUUUUACUGUGCAGGACACCAAGGAGGGCAUUAUUACAGUUUGUGGGCCUAUAGAUGGAAAGAUUGUGUAGAGGAGGGGAGGGCACUGAAAAUAUGCAGAGUCUGACAUGUUUUUCCUGCAGAUGUUAAGAGAUCCACAUGGCGGUCUUAUCCGGACGGAGAAGAAAAGGAAAGAGGACGCCGCUGAUCAGAAAAGACGUAAUUGAUCAGAAUCCGCUGACAUUGUGAGGAGCCAUCUGGGCGUCAAGUUCUGCAGAGAGAAGAUUUAGCUGGAACAAGUCCCGGUGAGCUGGAGUCACUGAAGAAGUUCUGCAGUAAUGAUGGGUGAAACAACAACUCCCAGCAUCCCCUUACCACUGCUUAGGUCAGACUGGGAGCUGUAGUUUUAAAUGGUAAAAACUUCUUUAGCACUUUCCCAUUCUGUGGCAAUUGGUAUAUUUGAUUAUUAUUCUGACAUGUGAGCAUGGCCUAAGAGUCUUAAACAAGGUUAGGACUGUAUGAUACAUUUAAUAAUAUUGUAAGUUCCGUAAGCAACAUCUUAUUUUCUGUCCGCCAACACAAAAUACUCUAAUAGUGCCCCUCCCGAGACUCUACUCUGGAUCCGCCCCUGCUCCCAGCAUGCCCAGACAGUCAAAGGCUGUCUGGGCAUGCUGGGAGUUGUAGUUUUGAAACUACUAGAAGCAGCAGUGAAUAUCACUUUACGGCGAUCUUCACUGCUACUUCCACUUACCUGC